GGAGGUAGAGCUCAAUGGCAGAGUGCUUGCGUAGUAUGCGUGAAGCCCUGGGUUUGAUCCCCAAGUACCUCCA
rnacentral:tRNA from 1 species